rnacentral:rRNA from 1 species
GUGGGGAAUAUUGGACAGUGGGCGGAAGCCUGAUCCAGCAAUUCCGCGUGGGUGAAGAAGGUCUUCGGAUUGUAAAGCCCUUUCGGCGGGGACGAUGAUGACGGUACCCGCAGAAGAAGCCCCGGCUAACUUCGUGCCAGCAGCCGCGGUAAUACGAAGGGGGCUAGCGUUGCUCGGAAUUACUGGGCGUAAAGGGCGCGUAGGCGGCGCAGUUAGUCAGGCGUGAAAUUCCUGGGCUUAACCUGGGGACUGCGCUUGAUACGGCUGUGCUAGAGGGUGGAAGAGGCUCGCGGAAUUCCCAGUGUAGAGGUGAAAUUCGUAGAUAUUGGGAAGAACACCGGUGGCGAAGGCGGCGAGCUGGUCCAUUACUGACGCUGAGGCGCGACAGCGUGGGGAGCAAACAGG